rnacentral:rRNA from 1 species
UCAUCUUCGGGGGUAGAGCACUGUUUCGGCUAGGGGGUCAUCCCGACUUACCAACCCGAUGCAAACUACGAAUACCGAAGAAUGUUAUCACGGGAGACACACGGCGGGUGCUAACGUCCGUCGUGAAGAGGGAAACAACCCAGACCGCCAGCUAAGGUCCCAAAGUCAUGGUUAAGUGGGAAACGAUGUGGGAAGGCACAGACAGCCAGGAUGUUGGCUUAGAAGCAGCCAUCAUUUAAAGAAAGCGUAAUAGCUCACUGGUCGAGUCGGCCUGCGCGGAAGAUGUAACGGGGCUAAACCAUGCACCGAAGCUGCGGCAGCGACACUAUGUGUUGUUGGGUAGGGGAGCGUUCUGUAAGCCUGCGAAGGUGUGCUGUGAGGCAUGCUGGAGGUAUCAGAAGUGCGAAUGCUGACAUAAGUAACGAUAAAGCGGGUGAAAAGCCCGCUCGCCGGAAGACCAAGGGUUCCUGUCCAACGUUAAUCGGGGCAGGGUGAGUCGACCCCUAAGGCGAGGCCGAAAGGCGUAGUCGAUGGGAAACAGGUUAAUAUUCCUGUACUUGGUGUUACUGCGAAGGGGGGACGGAGAAGGCUAUGUUAGCCGGGCGACGGUUGUCCCGGUUUAAGCAUGUAGGCUGGUUGUCCAGGCAAAUCCGGAUAAUCAAGGCUGAGGUGUGAUGACGAGGCACUACGGUGCUGAAGUAACAAAUGCCCUGCUUCCAGGAAAAGCCUCUAAGCAUCAGGUAACAUCAAAUCGUACCCCAAACCGACACAGGUGGUCAGGUAGAGAAUACCAAGGCGCUUGAGAGAACUCGGGUGAAGGAACUAGGCAAAAUGGUGCCGUAACUUCGGGAGAAGGCACGCUGGUGUGUAGGUGAAGUCCCUGCGGAUGGAGCUGAGACCAGUCGAAGAUACCAGCUGGCUGCAACUGUUUAUUAAAAACACAGCACUGUGCAAACACGAAAGUGGACGUAUACGGUGUGACGCCUGCCCGGUGCCGGAAGGUUAAUUGAUGGGGUUAUCCGUAAGGAGAAGCUCUUGAUCGAAGCCCCGGUAAACGGCGGCCGUAACUAUAACGGUCCUAAGGUAGCGAAAUUCCUUGUCGGGUAAGUUCCGACCUGCACGAAUGGCGUAAUGAUGGCCAGGCUGUCUCCACCCGAGACUCAGUGAAAUUGAACUCGCUGUGAAGAUGCAGUGUACCCGCGGCAAGACGGAAAGACCCCGUGAACCUUUACUAUAGCUUGACACUGAACAUUGAGCCUUGAUGUGUAGGAUAGGUGGGAGGCUUUGAAGCGUGGACGCCAGUCUGCGUGGAGCCAACCUUGAAAUACCACCCUUUAAUGUUUGAUGUUCUAACGUUGGCCCCUUACCGGGGUUGCGGACAGUGUCUGGUGGGUAGUUUGACUGGGGCGGUCUCCUCCCAAAGCGUAACGGAGGAGCACGAAGGUUAGCUAAUCCUGGUCGGACAUCAGGAGGUUAGUGCAAUGGCAUAAGCUAGCUUGACUGCGAGCGUGACGGCGCGAGCAGGUGCGAAAGCAGGUCAUAGUGAUCCGGUGGUUCUGAAUGGAAGGGCCAUCGCUCAACGGAUAAAAGGUACUCCGGGGAUAACAGGCUGAUACCGCCCAAGAGUUCAUAUCGACGGCGGUGUUUGGCACCUCGAUGUCGGCUCAUCACAUCCUGGGGCUGAAGUAGGUCCCAAGGGUAUGGCUGUUCGCCAUUUAAAGUGGUACGCGAGCUGGGUUUAGAACGUCGUGAGACAGUUCGGUCCCUAUCUGCCGUGGGCGCUGGAGAAUUGAGGGGGGCUGCUCCUAGUACGAGAGGACCGGAGUGGACGCAUCACUGGUGUUCGGGUUGUCAUGCCAAUGGCACUGCCCGGUAGCUAAAUGCGGAAGAGAUAAGUGCUGAAAGCAUCUAAGCACGAAACUUGCCCCGAGAUGAGUUCUCCCUGAGACUUUAAGUCUCCUGAAGGAACGUUAAAGACGAUGACGUUGAUAGGCCGGGUGUGUAAGCGCAGCGAUGCGUUGAGCUAACCGGUACUAAUGAACCGUGAGGCUUAACCUU